UACGGGGGGGAGCACGCGUUGUUCGGAUUUACUGGGCGUAAAGGGCGCGUAGGCGGCGUGACAAGUCACUUGUGAAAUCUCCGGGCUUAACCCGGAGCGGUCAAGUGAUACUGUCGUGCUAGAGUGCGGAAGGGGCUACUGGAAUUCUCGGUGUAGCGGUGAAAUGCGUAGAUAUCGAGAGGAACACCUGCGGCGAAGGCGGGUAGCUGGGCCGACACUGACGCUGAUGCGCGAAAGCCAGGGGAGCGAACGGG
rnacentral:rRNA from 1 species